rnacentral:rRNA from 1 species
GACGAACGCUGGCGGCGUGCUUAACACAUGCAAGUCGAACGGAAAGGCCCCUUUGGGGGUACUCGAGUGGCGAACGGGUGAGUAACACGUGAGUAACCUGCCCUUGACUUCGGGAUAACUUCAGGAAACUGGGGCUAAUACCGGAUAGGAAUCCUUGCUGCAUGGUGGGGGUUGGAAAGCUUCGGCGGUUUUGGAUGGACUCGCGGCUUAUCCGCUUGUUGGUGGGGUAGUGGCUUACCAAGGCUUUGACGGGUAGCCGGCCUGAGAGGGCGACCGGCCACAUUGGGACUGAGAUACGGCCCAGACUCCUACGGGAGGCAGCAGGGGGGAAUAUUGCACAAUGGGCGGAAGCCUGAUGCAGCAACGCCGCGUGCGGGAGGACGGCCUUCGGGUUGUAAACCGCUUUCAGCAGGGGCGAAGCUUGUGGUGACGGUACCUGCAGAAGAAGCACCGGCUAACUACGUG